GACGAACGCUGGCGGCGUGCCUAAUACAUGCAAGUUGAGCGAUGAAGAUUGGUGCUUGCACCAAUUUGAAGAGCAGCGAACGGGUGAGUAACGCGUGGGGAAUCUGCCUUUGAGCGGGGGACAACAUUUGGAAACGAAUGCUAAUACCGCAUAACAACUUUAAACAUAAGUUUUAAGUUUGAAAGAUGCAAUUGCAUCACUCAAAGAUGAUCCCGCGUUGUAUUAGCUAGUUGGUGAGGUAAAGGCUCACCAAGGCGAUGAUACAUAGCCGACCUGAGAGGGUGAUCGGCCACAAUGGGACUGAGACACGGCCCAGACUCCUACGGGAGGGAGCAGUAGGGAAUCUUCGGCAAUGGAGGAAAUUCUGACCGAGCACCGCCGCGUAAGUGAAGAAGGUCUUCGGAUCGUAAAACUCUGUUGGUAGAGAAGAACGUUGGUGAGAGUGGAAAGCUCAUCAAGUGACGGUAACUACCCAGAAAGGGACGGCUAACUACGUG
rnacentral:rRNA from 1 species